rnacentral:rRNA from 1 species
AGUACGAGAUGCUACGGCAUCGAGGCAGUCUAUGUCAUACUUCCAAGAAAAGCUUGCACUGUCAGAAACAGAUAAUGCCUGUACCAUAACCGACACAGGUGGGUAGGUAGAGUAUACUAAGGGGCGCGAGAUAACUCUCUCUAAGGAACUCGGCAAAAUGACUCCGUAACUUCGGGAGAAGGAGUGCCUUAUUUUUAAGGUUGCAAUAACAAGAUCCAAGCAACUGUUUACCAAAAACACAGGUCUCCGCUAAGUCGUAAGACGAUGUAUGGGGGCUGACGCCUGCCCAGUGCCAGAAGGUUAAAGAACUCGGUUGGCAUUCGCGAAGCUGGUAACUGAAGCCCUGGUGAACGGCGGCCGUAACAAUAACGGUCCUAAGGUAGCGAAAUUCCUUGUCGGGUAAGUUCCGACCCGCACGAAAGGCGUAAUGAUUUGGAUACUGUCUCGGAGAGGGGCUCGGUGAAAUAGACUUGUCUGUGAAGAUGCGGACUACCUGCACCUGGACAGAAAGACCCUAUGAAGCUUUACUGUAACUUGAAAUUGAAAUUGGACUUUAUUUGCGCAGUAUAGGUGGGAGGCGUUGAAAAUAUUCUUGCGGGAAUAUUGGAGCCAUCAGUGAGAUACCACUCUUGUAAUGUUAGAUUUCUAACUUUAUAUCAUUAUCUGGUUAAAGAACAGUUUCAGGCGGGCAGUUUGACUGGGGCGGUCGCCUCCCAAAUGGUAACGGAGGCGCACAAAGGUUUCCUCUGAACGGGUAGAAAUCGUAUCUAGAGUGUAAAGGCAUAAGGAAGCUUGACUGUGAGACCUACAAGUCGAGCAGGGACGAAAGUCGGUCUUAGUGAUCUGACGGUGCUGAGUGGAAAGGCCGUCACUCAACGGAUAAAAGUUACUCUAGGAUAACAGGCUGAUCUCCCCCAAGAGUUCACAUCGACGGGGAGGUUUGGCACCUCGAUGUCGGCUCAUCGCAUCCUGGGGCGGUAGUACGUCCCAAGGGUUGGGCUGUUCGCCCAUGAAAGCGGUACGCGAGCUGGGUUCAGAACGUCGUGAGACAGUUCGGUCCAUAUCCGGUGUAGGCGUUAGAAUAUUGAGAGGAGCCUUCUUUAGUACGAGAGGACCGAGAAGGACAUACCUCUGGUGUACCAGUUAUCGUGCCAACGGUAAACGCUGGGUAGCUAUGUAUGGAGUGGAUAACCGCUGAAAGCAUCUAAGUGGGAAGCCCACCUCAAGAUAAG